UCUUAUCGCCUUCAAAUCAUCUAUGUUAUGGUAUUCUUUUUUUUGUUUUUGUAUUUGUGUCCAUUCCUCUGCAAAAUGGUGACAUCUGGUGGACUCCAAGCGUCAUGAACAGGAAAUGGGAAAACAGGAAGCAGGAAAUAGAGUGAUUGUUUGCCGGCCAUGCAGCACCAACACAUUCAACUAAACCAGAGGGCUCAUCACUGAAGAUAUCUUUGUUAAACUCAAGAAAGCAGCGGCUACUGCAUCAAUUACAGCACAGCUCUGUGUGAAGGAAAGAGACGAGGGAGAAGACGAGGAGACAAGGAAAAGGAGACGAUGCAGAUGAAAGACAGGUCAACAUCUUCCACAAAGAGGAAGAUUCAUGUCAAGAACUGUUGUCUUUGGGGCAGAUAUUUCCAAGCUGAGGCCAAAAACCUUAGUGGAUUCAUCACUGCAGGAGAAGGAUCACCACAUCGUAUCUUUUCCUUCGUAUAACCAAACCAUCGUCACGCACACAAGUUGAUCCUGCAAGACGAGCGGCGUCUAAAUAAAAUACUGGACUUUUUCAUACCGGGGAAAAUGCAGAGAAAAGAGGAACUGAAGAUCAGAGGAGCUGAAGACGCAGUUGCAAAAGUGGGAGAGAGUCUUAUGAUCCGAUUCACGACAUGAUGCGGCCGGACACGUUCACCUACGCUUUUUCAGGU